CCACAAACCUAGCCCAACCAAGUAUCAAUACUGUAAUCACAACUAAAUAAUCUAAAUAAACCAUUCUAAUAUUCUAGUAAGGGGGAUUGAAAAAUUUAUCGGAGCUGUAACAAUAGUACCGCAAGGGAACAGUGAAAUAAUAAAUGAAAAAUUUUUAGCAAUAAAAAGUAAAGACUACCUCUUGUACCUUUCGCAUCAUGGUUUAACUAGUCUAAUCAAGCAAAGCGCAUUUAAGUUUGACACCCCGAAACUAAGUGAGCUACUUCAAGGCAGCUGAAAGAGCAAACCCGUCUCUGUAGCAAAAGAGUGGGAUGACCAUCAAGUAGCGGUGACAGACCUAACGAACUUAGUGAUAGCUGGUUACUCAAAGAAACGGAUUUUAGUCCAACCUGAAUUAACAACUAAAUAGUAUGCCAAAACAACUCUAUAACUUCAGCGUAAUUCAAAUAAGGUACAGCCUAUUUGAAACAGGACACAACCUAGACCAACGGAUAAGAUUAGCCUAGUGAACAAUCAAGUUGGCCUAAAAGCAGCCAUCUUUAAAAUUACGUCAAAGCUUAGUUGUUCUAACGCCUAAUUACAAAAUUAUCAUCUUAAUCCUCCAUCAGUACUGAGUAAUUCUAUACCCUUAUAGAAACUUUUAUGUUAAAACUAGUAAUAAGAAGAAGACCCUUCUCUUGAAUGUUAGUGUAAAUCAGGCAGGACAAACCACUGAUGUUUAACACCCCUGAACCCAGAGCAACAACUAAUCAAGAAAACAUUGCUCUAAUUAAUGUUAAUCUAACACAAGAACAUUUUAAGAAAGAUUAAAAAAAAAAGAAGGAACUCGGCAAAUAUUAACCCCGCCUGUUUACCAGAAACAUCGCCUCUUGAACCCAAUAAGAGGUCCAGCCUGCCCAGUGACUCUGUUCAACGGCCGCGGUAUCCUAACCGUGCGAAGGUAGCGUAAUCACUUGUUCUUUAAAUGAGGACUAGUAUGAACGGCACCACGAAGGUUAUACUGUCUCCUUUUUUUGAUCAGUGAAACUAAUCUCCCCGUGAAGAAGCGGGAAUAAAACUAUAAGACGAGAAGACCCUAUGGAGCUUUAAACAAUAUGGCAUUUACCCCCCAACAUAAAAAUUUCCGAACACAAAAUGUUUAGGUAAUAUGACCAUAAGUUUUCGGUUGGGGUGACCACGGAGAACAAUAUAACCUCCACGUUGAAAGAAUAUUAUUCUAAACUAAGACCAACCUGUCAAGGCAUCAAUAUUUUGACAUUCAUUGACCCAAUACUUUUGAACAACGAACCAAGUUACCCUAGGGAUAACAGCGCAAUCCACUUCAAGAGCCCCUAUCGACAAGUGGGUUUACGACCUCGAUGUUGGAUCAGGGUCUCCAAGUGGUGCAGCCGCUACUA
rnacentral:rRNA from 1 species